ensembl:lncRNA
AUGAAAGUUGAAAUUAUUUUUUUAAAUUGCAGUGGAGGAGAUCAUGGGACAUCGGGCCAGACAGAGGCAAACCAGCAACCCGGCAGUCAAGACAGCAGGGCCACCAGGAAACAGGUAACACAAUGGAUUAACUUCAUGACCCCAUGGGAGGAGGGGUAGAGAAAGGAUCUCACACCAGUGGCCUGAGGAAGUGCAAUUAUGGAAACUGGAGGGUGUGUGCUAACUGCCAACCGGAACUUCAGUUGUGUUCAUAAGGGUCCAUGCAACAACCUUCAUCCUUGCCCAGGCUGUAAACCUCAUCUGGGUUAUUUUGACUCUCCAUCCUGAAGUUAUUUUUCUUGCCCAGUGCAGGUGAGAACGCUUUCAUCAGGUCAGCAGGGAAAGGCAUAGAAAGCAGGAUAAUGUAGAAAUCUGCUGGGAGAACUCUCUUUUGUCCAUGAGCUAAACAUACCUUAAUAACUUUACCUUUAAAACAACGAACAAACAAAAAGCAUACGUAAGAACCAGAAACAAAGAAAAUAACAAUGACAGUAACCAAACUAAACAAAAACAAAAACUAUCUUAUACUCCUCUGGGUUGCAGAUUUUUAACAUAACUUCAAAAAAUUAUGAUUAAAAUAGAUAUUGGGAGAAUGCAGAUAAGCAAGUAGAAAACAAUGAAACACAAUCUUAGCAUUCAGAAAUAACUCUGGUUAUAUUUUCGGGGUUUAGACUCUCAAAGUGUGUGUGUAUCCCUGUGUGUGUGUGUGUGCGUGUGUGUGUGUCUUUCCUACACACAACCAAUACAAAUAUAAAUUUACCAAAAUGAAAACACAUUUGCUCUUAUUACUCUUAAUAAGCAUACCCAUUCUUUAAUAACUGCAGAAUAUGUGAUCAGAUGAGUGUACUAUAGUGAAUAUGACUGGCUAUGACUACUGUGUAUGUAAGAUGUCUUGCGAUUUUUCUUUCUUAUAAAUUGUUUUAUAAAAAUUGUUCUCAUAGCCAAGUGUUCGUGACGUUACAAAUGUUUACUUAGGGUAAAUUCCUAGAAGCAGGAUUUCUACGUUAGAGGUUAAGGACAUUCUGAAAGCUUUUGCUGUUAAGUAAUGUGAAGACACCAAGAAGCCUCACCCACAUAUUCUUUUGUCAGCAGUGUAUGAGAUGCCUAGAUUCUUACUACUCCUGAGGGUAAUCAUUGAAGUUAAAGGAGAUACUUAAAAGUGGAUUUUUAAAGAGGAAUGACUAGGCAGUUUCAUUCAGCCUUUUGGAAUAUUCAGACUUUAUUGCCGGACCAGUCUUUUUCGGGAGUUCACUUGUUACCAAAUGACUUAGAAUCACCCUGAAGGCUGAAGACUAUAAAAGGGGUCAUGCUGAUGGUAUUGUUCAUUCACUUAUAAGAAAGGUCACGUCUUUCUUGCUUUAUUCAAAGGAGCGGAAGCUGGCUUGCUUCCAGCUGGGAUAUCCUGAUUGGAAGUCAACUCGGACAGUCAGCUUUGCUCCUUCCUUACCAUCCUCUUAGUGCAAGUUCCUUAAAGAAGAGUGUGAUGUGUACACAUGCUGGUUUGCACAUACACAAUGCAUCGAACACAUGAUCUACUUUGCCCAUCCUGUGUGGCUUUGGGAUCCAAGGGGAGGGGAGAGGUAAGAGGCUGAGAAAAUGGGCAUUUCUUCCUGGUAAGUCUGUAUCAAAGAUUAGUGUUUGGCUCACCAACAGCUGCUACACUAAUUAUUCAUCUUAAUAACAAUGAGUAAUGAUUUUUAAAACUCACAAGCGCCUACCAACACUGCAUUUAGUGCUAUACGAUAUGCUUAGCUCAAAGUCCUUGUUGGGCAUUUUAUAAUAGCCUUUAAAAUAAUAUCUUACAUUCUCAAAGCCCUUUACCGUGGACAAAGUGUUUUCAUAUUGAUAAGUGAAUGUAGGGUGGGUGGUCAGAUUUGGUGGUAUUUCAUGCUCUUUACCCGUGUUUGAAUACUGCUCAAUUUCAAGCCUUCUGAUGAUUCCUUCUGUUUCAGAUCUAUCGUUUAAAUCCUUACUUAAAAAAAAAAAAAAAAAACCAAUGAUGGGCUCAAAUCUCUUAUCCUAUUUCUUAAUGGGAUGGGAUAAAAUGAAAGAUGUGGUUAGCUGUGAUGACACAUUUAAAUAAAUAGAAAAAAUAGAAAAGUCA